GGCGAAGCGGCGGAGGCGUCCAGCGGAGGUGAAAGCAUUGGCGGAAAGGAAAAUACAGCGGAAAAAUGCAGAGCUGGAGUCGUGUGUACUGCUCCUUGGCCAAGAGAGGCCAUUUCAAUCGAAUAUCUCAUGGCCUACAGGGACUUUCUGCAGUGCCUCUGAGAACUUAUGCAGAUCAGCCAAUUGAUGCUGAUGUAACAGUUAUAGGUUCUGGUCCUGGAGGAUAUGUUGCUGCUAUUAAAGCUGCCCAGUUAGGCUUCAAGACAGUCUGCGUUGAGAAAAAUGAAACACUUGGUGGAACGUGCUUGAAUGUUGGUUGUAUUCCUUCUAAGGCUUUGUUGAACAACUCUCAUUAUUACCAUAUGGCCCAUGGAAAAGAUUUUGCAUCUAGAGGAAUUGAAACAUUAGGUUGAAAUUUUCCAGUUGGUGAGUGAAAAACACUGCAUAUUGCUUCAAGAAUUUAGCUAAGAACUAAAGAUUAAUUGAACAAAUUACAGUGUCCGAAGUUCGCUUGAAUUUAGACAAGAUGAUGGAGCA
rnacentral:sRNA from 1 species